rnacentral:misc_RNA from 1 species
GAUAAGAACGUAGCGAAAUGCGAUAAGUAGUGUGAAUUGCAGAAUUCAGUGAAUCAUCGAAUCUUUGAACGCACAUUGCGCCCCUUGGUAUCCCGAGGGGCAUGCCUGUUCGAGCGUCAUUUCACCACUCAAGCCUGGCUUGGUGUUGGGCGACGUCCCCUUUAGGGACGCGCCUCGAAACGCUCGGCGGCGUGGCACCGGCUUUAAGCGUAGCAGAAUCUUUCGCUUUGGAAGUCGGGGCCCCGCCUGCCGGAAUACCUACUCGUAAGGUUGACCUCGGAUCAGGCAGGGAUACCCGCUGAACUUAAGCAUAUCAAUAAGCGGAGGA